rnacentral:rRNA from 1 species
GUCGAUGGAAACGUCGCGUAAUACCCCGUAACAACAGUUUUCGCAUGGGAACUGUUUAAGAGAUUUAUCGAUAUCGGAUUGGCUCGCGUGCCAUUAGAUAGUUGGUGAGGUAACGGCCCACCAAGUCGACGAUGGCUAGGGGUUCUGAGAGGAAGGUCCCCACAUUGGAACUGAGACACGGUCCAGACUCCUACGGGAGGCAGCAGUGAGGAAUAUUGGACAAUGGCCGAGAGGCUGAUCCAGCCAUGCCGCGUGCGGGAUGAAGGCCCUAUGGGUCGUAAACCGCUUUUGGUCGGGGAGCAAUAAGGGUCACGUGUGGCCCGAUGAGAGUACCUGGCGAAUAAGCAUCGGCUAACUCCGUGCC